rnacentral:ncRNA from 2 species
ACGCGAAACUACGGCGCUGGUGCCCGCAAGGGCAAAAAGGGAAUCCCGUAAGGCUGCCUUUAAAAGUCAGGAAUUUUUUCUGAGGUCAAGGAAGGGCGGAAAUAAAAAGCGCAGCAUAUAUGUGAAUAUGUCAGCAUUUUUAUUUUUGUCCUGACACAGAGAUCUGGAAAAAUAACGAUUUUUAGAGGUAGCCGUAAAACCGGGAGCUGCCCCGCAACUGUUAGCGGCGACGAAAUCUUGAAGUCCACUGGCCAAAGAGCCGGGAAGGUCAGGAGAGUAGGGUGACCCGCUUAAGCCAGGAGACCUGCCCGCGCCUUUAGCAGACC